GAUGAACGCUAGCUACAGGCUUAGCACAUGCAAGUCGAGGGGAAACGACAUCGAAAGCUUGCUUUUGAUGGGCGUCGACCGGCGCACGGGUGAGUAACGCGUAUCCAACCUGCCCACCACUUGGGGAUAACCUUGCGAAAGUAAGACUAAUACCCAAUGGCGUCUCUAGAAGACAUCUGAAAGAGAUUAAAGAUUUAUCGGUGAUGGAUGGGGAUGCGUCUGAUUAGCUUGUUGGCGGGGUAACGGCCCACCAAGGCGACGAUCAGUAGGGGUUCUGAGAGGAAGGUCCCCCACAUUGGAACUGAGACACGGUCCAAACUCCUACGGGAGGCAGCAGUGAGGAAUAUUGGUCAAUGGACGAGAGUCUGAACCAGCCAAGUAGCGUGCAGGAUGACGGCCCUAUGGGUUGUAAACUGCUUUUAUAAGGGAAUAAAGUGAGUCUCGUGAGACUUUUUGCAUGUACCUUAUGAAUAAGGACCGGCUAAUUCCGUG
rnacentral:rRNA from 1 species